AAGUUGGACUUUGACCUCUGAUAUCCCUUCUUCUGCUUGAACAAUUCGAGUGUUUAAACCUGUGCAUACUUCUCGGAGUUCCUGUAUUGUAUUCUUUAGUUCCAUUAAUUCACUCAUAUUCCACUCUAAGUUGUCUAUUCUCAAUAGGAUUUCAUCAAACCUUUUUUCAAAGUUCCUAGUUUCUUUACGUUGGGCUACAACAUGGUCUUUUAGCUCACCGAAGUUUGUUAUUAUCCAUUCCUUGAAGAGUGAUUCUGUCAUUGGGAUGCGCUCGUUCUCCAUCAAGCCUUGUUCCAUUGUUGAUGUGGAACUGUGAUCAUCUUUAGAGGGAGAGGCGUUCUGACUCUGAGUAUUCUCAGCUUUUUUACGCUGGUUUCUUCCUGUCAUUGUAAAUUUAUCCUCCUGUCUCUUUGAAAUUACCAACUUUCAGAUUAGGUCUCUUGAGUGGGCGUCCAGGUUGUUAGUUCCCAGGGCCAGAGCAGCGGCGUUAAAACUGAUGGUGCUUUUCUGCCCAGGAUUCUCCUGUCGGGCUUCCUUCUUGUGUCGGUAGUAGGCGACUCUGCCUUCCCGGGGCUCCAAACCUCGGUCAGAAGGGAAACCAGUCCUGUUUACUCUGCGCCGAGCGCACCCGUGCCGAGGUGCCGUCACAGCGGCUGCGCCGGGCUCUGGUGUCCUGCUGGGGACCCGUGCAGGUCCUCCGAACCUGUUUUCUUUGCUCUGAGAGCUGCCGCGCCAAGGUGCCGGCGGAACCGCUGCACCGGCCAGGAGAGUCGCGCUGGCCACCCUUGUGUUCCCUCCACUGGGGGUUCUCCUGCUCCAUGAGCGACCAGAAUUUGUCUGAAAGUGUGGCGUCCUCUAGUUCUCCGCGCCUUCCCUGAGAGCUGCAAUCCCGGGAUGUUAGCGAUUGGCCAUCUUGGAUCCAUUUUUAUUAUAUUUUUAUAGAAAACAUCCAAUUGUAGUUACUUUAACUCUCAAGUAUGGCAUCCACUGGACCACCUGAAAAUAAGAAUUUGGGAUCCUACCUCCUACGUUUUUGGUAAAGAAAUGGCUGCGUAACUUUUUCUAAAAAGCCUAUGAGUGUUUACAGCAGAGGAGAUAAAAACAAAAACAGAAGAGGAAAUUAUAUCCUGUAACACUUACAGCUAAUGCAGAGAACAAACACAACCUGACCCCUAGCCAGAUAAACACAAAACCUCACAGUGAAAGCCAAUCUAGCUCAGUUCCUGUUACCUGAUGUAUUACGUCUAGAUUUCAAAGAAAAAUGACAAGACAUGCUAAAAGACAAUUAAAAAGGCAAUCCAAAGAGACAAAGGUGGCACUAAAAACAGACUCAUGUGGCAGAAGUUUGAGAAUUACCAGACCAGGAAUUUAAGUAUAAUUCUAUGUGAAAGGUCUACUGGAGAAGUGAGCAAGAUGCAAAACAGCGUAUGAGAAAUGUAAGCAGAAAGAGAUUCUAAUUUAAAAAAUGCUACAAUUGAAGACAUCAUAACAGAAAUGAAGAUUUUUUUUCCUUUGGAGAUGGAGUCUUGCUUUGUUGCCCAGGUUGGAGUGCAGUGGCCUGAUCUCGGCUCACUGCAGCCUCUUUCUCCCAGGUUCAAGUCAUUCUUCUGCCGCAGCCUCCUUAUUAGCUGAAACUGCAGGCUUGCACCACCAUGCCCCACUAUUUUUUGUAUUUUUAGUAGAGAUCAGAUUUUGCCAUGUUGGCUGGUCUCAAUGUCCUGAUCUCAGGUGAUCUGUCCACCUUGGCUUCCCAAAGUGUUGAGAUUACGGGUGUGAGCCACCAUGUUGGGCCUAAGAAUGUUUUUAGUAAGUUCACUGGAAAACUGGACAUGGUCAAGAACAGAAUCAAUAACCUUGAAGAUAUGUCAAUAGACCAUUCUCAAACAGAAAGAUAUGGGAAAAAAGAAACUGAAUAUUUAGGAACUGUGUGACAAUUGUAAAAGGUGUAACAUGCAUAGUGGGAUGAUGGGCAUUUAGGUUAACUCCAUGUCUUUCCAAUUGUGAAUAGUGCUGCAGUGAACAUACACGUGUUUGUCUUUAUAAUAGAAUAACUUAUAUUCCUUCAGGUAUAUACCCAGUAAUAAACUGGGUCAAAUGGUAUUUGUUUUUAGUUCUUUGAGGAAUCACCACACUGUUUUCCACGAUAGCUGAACUAAUUUCCACCCCCACCAACAGUGUAUAAGAGUUCUUUUUCUCUGCAACCUUGUCAGCAUUUGUUACUCUUUGACCUUUGAUAAUAGCCAUUCUGACUGGUGUGAGAUGGUAUCUCAUUGUGGUUUUGAUUAGCAUUUCUGUAAUGAUCAGUUAUGUUGAACAUUUGAAAUAUGAUUUUUGGUUGCAUGAAUGUUUUCUUUUGAAAAGUGUCUGUUCAUGUCAUUUGCCCACUUUGUGUUUUUUGGUUUUGAUUUUUGUUUUGUAAAUUUGUUAAGUUCCUUAUAGAUGCUGGAUAUUAGACCUUUGCCGGGUCUAUAGUUUGCAACAGUUUUCUCCCAUUCAGUAGGUUGUCUUUUCACUCUGUUGACAUUUUUCUUUUCUGUUCAGAAGCCCUUUAGUUUAAUUAAAUCCCAUUUGCCAAUUUUUGCUUUUGUUGCAAUUGGUUUUGGCAUCUUUGUCAUGAAUUCUUGGCCCAUUUCUAUGUCCAGAAUGGUAUUGGUUAUGUUGUCUUCUGGGCUUUUAUAGUUUUGGGUUUUACAUUUAAGUGUUCUAUGCAUCUUAAUUUUUGUGUAUGAUGUAAGAAAGGGGUCCAGUUUCAAUCUUCUGUAAAUGGCUAGCCAGUUAUCUCAGUAACAUUUAUUAAAUACAGGAUGUUUUCCCUAUUGCUUUGCUUGUGUUUUUUUUUUUAAUGGGCAACAGUCUUGCUGUGUUGCCCAGACUGGAGUGCAGUGGCAUCCAUUGUUUACUUUUAUCAGGUUUGUCCAAAAUCAGAUAAUUGUAUAGUUGCAGGUGUGCAGCCUUAUUUCUAAGUUUUCUAUUCUGUUCCAUUGGUGUAUGUAUCUGUUUUUGUUUCAGUACCAUGCUGUUUUGGUUAUUGUAGCCUUGUACUCUAGUUCGCAGUUAGGUAGCAUGAUGCCUUUAGCUUUGUUCUUUUGCUUGAGAUAGCCUUGGGUGUUCAGGAUAUUUUUUGGAUCUAUCUGAAUUUUAAAAUAGUUUUUUUCUGGUUCUGUUAAGCAUGUCAUUGGUAGUUUAACAGGAAUAGCAUUGAAUCUAUAAAUUGUUUUGGGCAGUAUGGCCAUUUUUACAAUAUUGAUUUUUUUCCUAUAUUAAGCAUGGAAUGUUUUUCCAUUUGUUUGUGUUGUCUAAUUUUUUAAGCAGCAUUUUAUAUUUCUUCUUGUACAGAUCUUUCAAAUUCCUAGUUAGCUGUAUUCCUGGAAAUAAUUUUUUUUGUGUGUGGCAGUUCUGAGUGGAAUUGUGUUCUUUAUUUGGCUCUCAGCUUGACUGUUGUUGGUAUGUGGCAAUGUUAUUUUCACAGAGUGAUUUUGUAUCCUGAGACUUUACUGAAGUUGUGGUCAGCUUCAGAAGCUUUUGGGGUGAGAAUAUGGGAUUUGUUAAGCAUAAGAUAAUGUUAUCUGCAAACAGGGAUAGUUUGACUUCCUGUCUUUCUAUUUGCAUGCCCAUUAUUUUUUUCUCUUGCCUGAUUGCCCUGACCAGGACUUCCAAUACUAUGUUGAAUAGGAGUGGUGAGAGAAGGCAUCCUUGUCUUGUACCAGUUUUCAAAGGGAAUCCUUCCCACUUUUGCCAAUUCAGUAUGAUAUUGGCUAUGCAUUUGUUGUAUAUGGCUGUUAUUAUUUUGAGGUAUGUUCCUUCAAUAUCUAGUUUAUUGAGAGCUUUAAUUAUGAAGGGUUGUUGAAUUUUAUUGAAGGCCUUGUCCGCUCUAUUUGGAUAAUAAUGUUGUUUUUGUCUUUAGUUCUGUUUAUAUGAUAAAUCACAUUUAUUGAUUUCCAUAUGUUAAACUAACCUUGCAUCCUGGGGAUAAAUGCUACUUGAUUGUGGUGGAUAAACUUUUUGAUGUGCUGCUGGAUUUAGUUUGCCAGUAUUUUGUUAAGGUUGAGGUUUUUACAUUAAUGUUCUUCAAAAAUAUCAGCCUGAAGUUUUCUUCUUUUGUUCUGUCUUUGCCAGAUUUUGGUAAGAGGAUGAUGCUGGCUUCAGAGACUGUGUCAGGGAGCAGUCCCUUCUCAAGUUUUUGGAAGAGUUUAAGCAGUAAUGGAACUAGCUGUUAUUUGUACUCUGGUAGAAUUCAGCUGUGAAUUUGUGUUGUCCUGUGGUGCUUUUUGGUUGGUAAGGUAUUACUCAAUUUCAGAACUCAUUGUUUGUUUGUUCAAGCUUUGAAUUUAUUCCUGGUUCAAUCGGGGAAGGGUGUAUGUGUCCAGGAAUUUAUCCAUUUCCUCUAGAUUUUCAAGUUUAUAUGCAUAGAGGCAUACAUAAUAUUCUCUAAUGGUUGAUUAUAUUUCUGUGGAAUCUGUGAUAAUAUCCCCCUUUUCAUUUUCUAUUGUGUUUAUUUUAAUCUUCUCUCUUUUUUACUUUAUUUGGCUAGCUCAUGGUCUACUUUAUUAAUUUUUUUUAAAAACCACCUCCUGGAUUUCUUGAUCUUUUGAAUGUUUUAUCAUGUCACAGAUUUCUUCAGUUCAGCUCUAAUUUACUUUUCAUUUUCUGCUAACUUUGGGAUGUGCUGUUGGUUCUCUCAUUAUUUUAGUUGUGAUGUUAGACUGUUAAUUGAGAUCUUUCUUUUUGAUGUUGACAUAUAGUGUUAUAAAUUUUCAUUGUAGCACUGCCUUAGCUGUAUCUUAGAGACUCUGGUAUGUUUUAUCUUUGUUCUUAUUAGUUUCAAAAAACGUCUUGACUUCCCUGAAUUUUAUUAUUUGCCCAAAAGUCUUUCAGGAGCAGAUUAUGCAAUUUUCAUGUAAUUAUAUAGUUUUGAGUGGAUUUCUUAAUCUUGAUUUUUAGGUUGGUUGUGCUGUGAUUCAAGAGAUUGUUACAAUUUCAGUUCUUUGCAUUUUCUGAGGAGUGUCUUUCUUUUGAUUAUGUCAUUAAUUUUACAGGAUAUAACAUGUGGCUCUGAGAAUAAUUUCUAUUUUGUUUGUUUGUGGUGUACAGUUCUGUAGAUAUCAAUCAGGUCCUUGUGAUCCAGUGCUGAGUUUAAGUCCUGAAUAUCUUUUUUCAUUUUCUGUCUCAAUGAUCUCAUAUUGUCAGUAUGGUAUCAAAGCCCCCUUCUAUUACUGUGUAGAAGUCUAAGUCUCUUGGAAGGUCUUUAAGAACUUGCUGGGCCAGGUGUGGUGGCUCACACCUGUAAUCCCACCUCUUUGGGAGGCCAAGGUGGCCAGAUCACCUGAGGUCAGGAGUUCGAGACCAGCCUGAUCAACAUGAAGAAACACCGUCUCAAGUAAAAAUAUAAAAUUAGCCAAGGGUGAUGGCACAUGCCUGUAAUCUCAGCUACUCAGGAGGCUGAGGCAGGAGAAUCUCUUAAACUUGGGAGGUGGAGGUUGCAGUGAGCUGAGAUCGUGCCAUUGCACUCCAGCCUGGGUAACAAGAGUGAAACUCCAUCUCAAAAAAAAAAGAAAAAGAACUUGCUUUAUGAAUCUGGAUGCUUCUGUGUUGGGUGCAUAUAUAUUUAGGAUAGUUAGAUAUCCUUAUUGAAUUGACUCUUCUACAAGUAUAUAAUGUUCUUCUUUUUUUUUUUCAUCUUUGGUGGUUUAAAAUCUGUUUUCUCAGAAACUAGAAUUAACCUUUGCUUUUUUUUCUUUGGCUUUUUAUUUACUUGGUAGAUUUUCCUUCAUCCCUUUAUUUUUAGCUUACGUGUGUCAUUGUGUGUGAGAUGGGUAUCUUGAACACAGCAUACCAAUGGGUUUUGGUUCCUUAUCCAUCUUGCCACUAUGUGUCUUUUAAUUGGGGCAUUUAGCCCAUUUUCAUUUAAGAUCAGUAUUGAAAUGUAUGAUUUUUGAUCCUGCCAUCAUGAUGUUGGCUGUUUAUUUUGCUGUCUUGUUUAUGUGGGUGCUUUAUAGUGUCACUGAUCUACGUACUUCAGUGUGUUUUUGUAGUAGCUUCUCUUCAUAUUAGGUACUUUUUUCAGGAGCUCUUGUAAGGCAAGUCUGGUGGUAAUAAAUUCCCUCGGCAUUUACUUGUCUUAAAAGAAUUUCUUUUUUUUUCUUUUUUUGCCUAUGAAUCUUAGUUUUGCUGAAUAUAAAGUUCUGGUUUGGAAUUUCUUUUCUUUAAGAAUACUGAAUAUUGGUCCCCAAUCUCUUUCAGCUUGUAAGAUUUCUGUUGAAAUGUCCAGUUUUAGUUUGAUGGGCGUCCCUUAGUAGGUUACCUGACCUUUCUCUCCAACUGCCUUUAACAGGUUUCCUUUUAUUUCAGCUUCAAAGAAUCUGAUGAUUAUGCAUCCUAGGGAUAAUCUUGUUUCAGUGCAUCUUACUGGGCUUUUCUGCAUUUAUUGAAUUUGAAUGUUGGCCCUCUAGCUAGGUUGGGAAAGUUCUCAUGGCUUAUAUCCUAAAAUAUGUUUUCCAAAUUGUUUCAAUUCUCCCCAUUUUUUUAAUAAAUUCAUUUUUUAGAAAUUUUUUAUUGCAUUUUAGGUUUUGGGGUACAUGUGCAGAAUAUGCACGACAGUUGCAUAGGUACACACAUGGCAGUGUGUUUUGCUUCCUUUCUCCCCUUCACCCACAUUUGGCAUUUCUCCCCAGGCUAUCCCCUCCCCAGCUCCCCCCUCACUGGCCCUCCCCUUUCCCCCCAAUAGAUCCCAGUGUUUAGUACUCCCCUCCAUGUGUCCAUGUGUUCUCAUUUUUCAUCACCCACCUAUGAGUGAGAAUAUGCAGUAUUUCAUUUUCUGUUCUUGUGUCAGUUUGCUGAGAAUGAUGUUCUCCAGAUUCAUCCAUGUCCCUACAAACGACAUGAACUCAUCAUUUCUGAUUGCUGCAUAAUAUUCCAUGGUGUAUAUGUGCCACAUUUUCCCAAUCCAGUCUAUCACCAAUACGCAUUUGGGUUGAUUCCAGGUCUUUGCUAUUGUAAACAGUGCUGCAAUGAACAUUCGUGUGCAUGUGUCCUUAUAGUAGAACAAUUUAUAGUCCUUUGGAUAUAUACCCAGUAAUGGGAUUGCUGGGUUAAAUGGAAUUUCUAUUUCUAAGGCCUUGAGGAAUCGCCACACUGUCUUCCACAAUGGUUGAACUAAUUUACACUCCCACCAACAGUGUAAAAGUGUUCCUUUUUCUCCACAUCCUCUCCAGCAUCUGUUGUCUCCAGAUUUUUUAAUGAUCACCAUUCUAACUGGCGUGAGAUGGUAUCUCAAUGUGGUUUUGAUUUGCAUCUCUCUGAUGACCAGUGAUGAUGAGCAUUUUUUCAUAUAAUUGUUGGACUCAUAUAUGUCUUCUUUUGAAAAGUGUCUGUUCAUAUCCUUUGCCCAUUUUUGAAUGGGCUUGUUUUUUUUUCUGUAAAUCUGUUUGAGUUCUUUGUAAAUUCUGGAUAUCAGCCCUUUGUCAGAUGGGUAAACUGCAAAGAUUUUUUCCCAUUCUGUUGGUUGCUGAUUCACUCUAGUGACUGUUUCUUUUGCCGUGCAGAAGCUGUGGAGUUUCCUUAGGUCCCAUUUGUCUAUUUUGGCUUUUGUUGACAAUGCUUUUGGUGUUUUGGUCAUGAAGUCCUUGCCUACUCCUAUGUCCUGAAUGGUUUUGCCUAGAUUUUCUUCUAGGGUUUUUAUGGUGCCAGGUCUUAUGUUUAAGUCUUUAAUCCAUCUGGAGUUAAUUUUAGUUUAAGGUGUCAGGAAGGGGUCCAGUUUCUGCUUUCUGCACAUGGCUAGCCAGUUUUCCCAACACCAUUUAUUAAACAGGGAAUCCUUUCCGCAUUGCUUGUUUCUGUCAGGUUUAUCAAAGAUUGUAUGGUUAUAGACAUGUUGUAUUGCCUCCGAUGCCUCUGUUGUGUUCCAUUGGUCUAUAUCUCUGUUUUGGUACCAGUACCAUGCUGUUUUGAUUACUGUAGCCUUGUAGUAUAGUUUGAAAUCCGGUAGUGUGAUGCCCCCCGCUGUGUUCUUUUUGCUUAGAAUUCACUUGGCUAUGCGGGCUCUCUUUUGGUUCCAUAUGAAGUUCAUGGUGGUUUUUUCCAGUUCUGUGAAGAAAGUCAAUGGUAGCUUGAUGGGGAUAGCGUUGAUUCUGUAAAUUACUUUGGGCAGUAUAGCCAUUUUCACGAUAUUAAUUCUUCCUAACCAUGAACAUGGAAUGUUUCUCCAUCUGUUUGUGUCCUCUCUUAUUUCGUUAAGUGGUGGUUUGUAGUUUUCCUUGAAGAGGUCCCUUACGUUCCUUGUGAGUUGUAUUCCUAGGUAUUUUAUUCUUUUAGUAGCAAUUGUGAAUGGCAGUUCGUUCUUGAUUUGGCUUUCUUUAAGUCUGUUAUUGGUAUAUAGGAAUGCUUGUGAUUUUUGCACAUUGAUUUUAUAUCCUGAGACUUUGCUGAAGUUGCUUAUCAGUUUCAGCAGUUUUUGGGCUGAGGCAAUGGGGUCUUCUAGGUAUACUAUCAUGUCAUCUGCAAAUAGAAACAAUUUGGCUUCCACCUUUCCUAUUUGAAUACCCUUUAUUUCUUUUUCUUGCCUGAUUGCUGUGGCUAGAACUUCCCGUCCUAUAUUGAAUAGGAGUGGUGAAAGAGGGCAUCCUUGUCUAGUGCCAGAUUUCAAAGGGAAUGCUUCCAGUUUUUGCCCAUUCAGUAUGAUAUUGGCUGUUGGUUUGUCAUAAAUAGCUUUUAUUACUUUGAGAUACAUUCCAUCGAUACCGAGUUUUAUUGAGGGUUUUUAGCAUAAAGAGCUGUUGAAUUUUGUCGAAUGCCUUAUCUGCGUCAAUUGAGAUAAUCAUGUGGUUUUUGUUUUUGGUUCUGUUUAUGUGGUGAAUUACGUUUAUAGACUUGUGUAUGUUGAACCAGACUUGCAUCCCCAGGAUAAAUCCUACUUGAUCAUGAUGGAUAAGUUUUUUGAUUUGCUGUUGUAGUCGGCUUGCCAAUAUUUUAUUGAAGAUUUUUGCAUCUAUGUUCAUCAUGGAUAUUGGCCUGAAGUUUUCUUUUCUUGUUGGGUCUAUGCUGGGUUUUGGUAUCAGGAUGAUAUUGGUCUCAUAAAAUGAUUUGGGAAGGAUUCCCUCUUUUUGGAUUAUUUGUAAUAGUUUCAGAAGGAAUGGUACCAGCUCCUCUUUGUGUGUCUGGUAUAAUUCGGCUGUGAACCCAUCUGGAUCCAGGCUUUUUUUGUGUGGUAGGCUCUUAAUUGCUGCCUCGACUUCUGACCUUGUUAUUGGUCUAUUCAUAGUUUCAGCUUCCUCCUGGUUUAGGCUUGGGAGGACACAGGAGUCCAGGAGUUUAUCCAUUUCUUCCAGGUUUACUAGUUUAUGUGCGUAGAGUUGUUUGUAAUAUUCUCUGAUGAUGGUUUGAAUUUCUGUGGAAUCUGUGGUGAUUUCCCCUUUAUCAUUUUUUAUUGCAUCUAUUUGGUUGUUCUCUCUUUUCUUUUUAAUCAGUCUGGCUAGUGGUCUGUCUAUUUUGUUGAUCUUUUCAAAAAACCAGCUCUUGGAUUUAUUGAUUUUUUGAAGGGUUUUUCGUGUCUCUAUCUCCUUCAGUUCAGCUCUGAUCUUAGUUAUUUCUUGUCUUCUGCUGGGUUUUGAGUUUUUUUGAUCUUGCUCCUCUGGCUCUUUCAAUAUUGACGAUAGGGUGUCAAUUUUGGAUCUCUCCCAUUCUCCUCAUAUGGGCACUUAUUGCUAUAUAUUUUCCUCUAGAGACUGCUUUAAAUGUGUCCCAGAGAUUCUGGCAUGUUGUGUCUUCGUUCUCAUUGGUUUCGAAGAACUUCUUUAUUUCUGCCUUCAUUUCAUUGUUUAUCCAGUCAACAUUCAAGAGCCAGUUGUUCAGUUUCCAUGAAGCUGUGCAGUUCUGGGUUGGUGUCUGAAUUCUGAGUUCUAACUUGAUUGCACUAUGGUCUGAGAGACUGUUUGUUAUGGUUUCAGUUGUUUUGCAUUUGCUGAGGAGUGCUUUACUUCCAAUUAUGUUGUCAAUUUUAGAGUAGGUGUGAUGUGAUGCUGUGAAGAAUGUAUAUUCUGUGGAUUUGGGGUGGAGAGUUCUGUAAAUAUCUAUCAGGUUUGCUUGCUCCAGGUCUGAGUUCAAGCCCUGGAUAUCCUUGUUAAUUUUCUGUCUGGUUGAUCUGUCUAAUAUUGACAGUGGAGUGUUAAAAUCUCCCAAUAUUAUUGUGUGUGAGUCUAAGUCUCUUUGUAAGUCAUUAAGAACUUGCCUUAUGUAUCUGGGUGCUCCUGUAUUGGGUCCAUAUAUGUUUAGGAUCGUUAGCUCUUCUUGUUUUAUCGAUCCUUUUACCAUUAUGUAAUGGCCUUCUUUGUCUCUUUUGAUCUUUGUUGCUUUAAAGUCUAUUUUAUCAGAGAUGAGAAUUGCAACUCCUGCUUUUUUUUGCUCUCCAUUUGCUUGGUAAAUCUUCCUCCAUCCCUUUAUUUUGAGCCUUUGUGUAUCCUUGCAUGUGAGAUGUGUUUCCUGGAUACAGCACACUGAUGGGUUUUAGAUUUUUAUCCAAUUUGCCAGUCUGUGUCUUUUGAUUGGUGCAUUUAGUCCAUUUACAUUUAGGGUUAAUAUUGUUAUGUGUGAAUUUGAUACUGCCAUUUUGAUGCUAGCUGGCUGUUUUGCCCGUUAGUUGAUGUAGAUUCUUCAUUAUGUUGAUGCUCUUUAGCAUUUAGUGUGAUUUUGGAAUGGCUGGUACUGGUUGUUCCUUUCUAUAUGCAGUGCCUCUUUCAGGAGCUCUUGUAAAGCAGGCCUGGUGGUGACAAACUCUGAGUACUUGCUUGUUCGCAAAGGAUUUUAUUUUUCCUUCACUUCUGAAGCUCAGUUUGGCUGGAUAUGAAAUUCUGGGUUGAAAGUUCUUUUCUUUAAGGAUGUUCAAUAUUGGCCCCCACUCUCUUCUGGCUUGUAGAGUUUCUGCCAAGAGAUCUGCUGUGAGUCUGAUGGGCUUCCCUUUGUGGGUGACCCGACCUUUCUCUCUGGCUGCCGUUAGUAUUUUCUCCUUUAUUUCAACCUUGUUGAAUCUGACGAUUAUGUGCCUUGGGGUUGCGCUUCUUGUGGAAUAUCUUUGUGGUGUUCUCUGUAUUUCCUGCAUUUGAGUGUUGGCCUGUCUUGCUAGGUGGGGGAAAUUUUCCUGGAUAAUGUCCUGAAGAGUAUUUUCCAGCUUGGAUUCAUUCUCUUCGUCAUGUUCUGGUACACCUAUCAAACGUAGGUUAGGUCUCUUCACAUAGUCCCACAUUUCUUGGAGACUUUGUUCAUUCCUUUUUGCGCUUUUUUCUCUGAUCUUGGUUUCUCAUUUUAUUUCAUUGAGUUGAUCUUCGACUUCUGAUAUUCUUUCUUCUGCUUGGUCAAUUAAGCUGUUGAAACUUGUGCAUGCUUCGUGAAGUUCUCGUAUUGUGUUUUUCAGCUCCUUUAAUUCAUUCAUAUUCCUCUCUAAGUCAUCCAUUCUUGUUAUCAUUUCCUCAAAUCUUUUUUCAAAUCUUUUUUCAACGUUCUUAGUUUCUUUGCAUUGAUUUAAAACAUGUUCUUUUAGCUCACAAAAGUUUCUCAUUAUCCACUUUCUGAAGUCUAAUUCCAUCAUUUCGUCACAGUCAUUCUCCAUCCAGCUUUGUUCCCUUGCUGGUGAGGAGUUUUGGUCCUUUCUAGGAGGCGAGGUGUUCUGGUUUCGGGUGUUUUCCUCCUUUUUGCGCUGGUUUCUUCCCACCUUUGUGGAUUUAUCCACCUGUCGUCUGAGUAGUUGCUGACUUUUCGAUUGGGUCUCUGAGUGGAUGCCCAGAUUGUUGAUGAUGAAGUAUUUCUGUUACUUGGUUUUCCUUCUACCAGUCUAGCCCCUCCACUGUACGACUGUUGAGGUCCAUUCCAGGCCCUGCUUGUCUGGGGUACACCUAUAGCAGCUGUGGAGCAGUGAGGGAUGCUACCAGUUUCUUUUUCUGCUAUCUUUGUCCCAGAAUGAUGCCUGCCAAAUGUCAGUCUUUUGGAUAUAGAGGGGACAGGGAGCUGCUUGAGGAGACAGUCUGUACUUUAUAGGAGCUCAAGUGCUGAGCUGUGAGCUCUGUUGUUCAUUCAGGGCUGUUAGGCUGCUACGUUUAAUUCUGCUGCAGCAGAACUCAUAAAAAAAAAAACUUUUUUUCUCAGAUGCUCUGUCUCGGGGGGUUGGGGCUUUCUUUGUGAGUGUCCGUUGUGCUGUCCUGCCCAGCUAGGAGGCAGUCUAGUCACUAUUUGCCUGCUGAGGCUCAGCCCUGCUGGUGUGAGGUUUGCCCUGUUGCUGCAUGCUCUGCUGUGCUGCUCCUGUCUCCGCCCUGCAGCGGAGUCUCUCUGUUGUGGCGGGUUGCCUCGGCAAUGGCAGGCUGCGUCAGCAAUGGGCGUGUACCUCAGUAGGAGCGGAUUGCCUCGGUAAUGGCGGAUGCCCCUCCCCCACGGAGCUGCACUGUCCUGGGUUCAGCUGUGCCCGCACCCGGAGUGUUUGGAAUCACCAUUUUGUUUGUCCCACUGCGCUACCCCAAACGCUGCUUCCCUGGAAUCUCCUGGCCUGGCUCGCUGUCCAAGUCCCGUUCAGUCUCAAUUUCAGCCCUCUCAAGUCUUAGAUUGCCGGUUCAACAGGGCACCUGGACCAGUGUGCUUUGUGCGGAGCGCUGUGGAGCACCGCUAUGCUACAGUGCCGGCCGCCAGCUGCACCAGCUGCCAGCUGCACCAGCCAAAACAUCUGCCUGGCGUCCCACGUCUCUUUUAUACCUGGGAAUUUCCCCGUUCUGUGGGCAACAAAGAUCCGUCUGGAAAUGCAGCCCUGACUCACCCUCCGUGCAUUCACUGAGAGCUUCAAUCCUGGGUUGUUCUCACCACGCCAUCUUAAGUCCCUCCUCAGAUUCAUUUUUUAAACAUAAUCUUUUAUUUCCCGGAUUUUUUUGUUCCUUUUAAUUUUUUUCCCUCUAUUGUUGUCCGUCUCAUUUCAGAAAGCUAGUCUUUCAGCUCUGAGAUUCUUUUCUCCACUUGGUGUAUUAUAUUAAUAUAUUGCAUAUAUUAUAAUGUAAUCACUUGCUAUUAAUGCUUGUGAUUACAUUAUAAAAUUAUUGCAAUGAGUUUUUAAGCUCUAUCACAUCAGUUAUGUUCUUUCUUAUACUGACUAUUUUCUUUGUCAGCUCCUGCUGUUUUGUCAUGAUUUUUAGCUUCCUUGCAUUAUGUUUCUAUGUAUGCCUGUAGCUCAAUGAUCUUCAUUUCUAUGCAUGUAGCUUGGUUUAGAACCCUUCCUGGAGAACUGACACAGUCAUUUUGAGGAAAGAAAGCACUCUAGCUUUUUGAGUGUUUAGGGUUCUUGCACUGAAACUUUCUCAUCUUUGUGGGUUUAUCUACAGUUAGUCUUUGAGGUUGCUGACCUUUGGAUGGGCAUUUCAAAAUUUUAUUGUAUUUGAUGGCCUUUAGAAUUUCAUUGUGGUAGAAUGUGGAUUCAGCCAACUUGUUAUGUUUCUGGAAGAUUUUAGGGGGCUAGCCCUCAGCUCCAAAAUCUUGGACUUUGUGCUCUCUAGGAGACUUGUAUUGGACCCCAAUGUUAUUUUCUAGCUCCUGGAGGUUUGGAAUAUGCUGCUGCAUCGGGUGCAGGUGUGAAGUGCAGCAGCUUCAGCAGAGUGCUAGUGGGUGCUGAGGUGCCUGCCGUGCUGUAGGCACUCACUAUAAUCGUGGAGGCAACACAUUUGGGGGUUUACUGCAGACUGUGUGUGCCAUUGUGCUGGAGAUAGUGUUUGCUCAGGGCCAAGGUGCUGGUGAUACAGAUCUGGGUGCCUAAUCUGUGCCCCACAAGUAUGAGUGAUUACUCAGGGGGAGGAUCCGCUGUUCUCUGUGUAGUGUUAGUGCAAGGAUAGGGUGCUAGUGUGAGUGGGUUUGCUGGCUCUGUGCCUGCCAAGGCUAAAUCUGCAAUGGUGGUUGGUGAGGGAGUGCACGAGGGUGGACUGUACUCCUGUGCUGGUGGGCAAUGAAAGUAAAACCUGCCCAUACAGACAUGUACCAGAAAAGUGAUGUGGGAAGCUACCAUGGCCCCAAGGGAAGUUGCAGUAUAGGGAAGAAACAGACAAGCUUGUAUGUGGUCAUAGGGGCCAUCUCACUGGAGCUCUUCACCUUUCGGGCAUAGUGCAUCAGUGCAAAAGCUAUGGUGUGGGCCCCCAAGGACACCCAAGGCUGCUCUGCAAGCAGGCAUGGCCAGGCUGGGGCCCCAGGAAAGGCCAGCAGACCAUGGGAUGCUCAGGUCAGACCAGUGCCAUCUGAUAGGCAAGACUGCCCUGCAGAGAUCUGAUCUAACAGUUCACCAGGGCUGCUAAAGUCUCCUACUAGAGCAAGUUGAGCCUAUGGGGAUGGUUGUCCAAGUCCACACUUUGCUACAGAUGCUUCUGCUUCAAACCCUCUGGGCUCUACAUCAACUGGCUUGCUAUCCCUACCAAGUAGGUGUUGCAGCUCUAAGGGGCAGUAGCUCUCCUUGCCAACUCAAGUGUCCCUGGUGAUCAAGGGGUCUCUUCCUGGGGUUCCAGAGGCCUAUAGCGAGAGUGGGUUGCUUCUUCCCAGUUCAACUCACUCGUUCUCUUGGAGCUGUUGAGGUACAAAAAUGAGUCUUAAUGUAUAGUACACCUAUGCAUUGUUCCCAGCUUUCUCCCCCUUAAGCCCAGCUUCUGUGUCUUCCUUCUGUCCACUCUCAACACUUUCCCUCAUACCUGUCAUCUCAGUCCCUUGGUGGGAGCUGUUCUACCUCGCUGAUCUAGUUCACCAUCUUGCCCUCCCCUGCUUCUUUUUAAAAUAAAGAAAAAAUGACUAUCAUUAAUCAUACUGUUACCUUUAAUACUAAGGUAAAUGCUAUAAAAUUGAAGUUAUUCAAAUCUAAAUAUUUUUGACAGAAAUUAUAUCCUUAUUUCUGGAAAACCUCUUAUUGUCCUGAUAGACAAUUAAUUUUGUUAUCAUUACUUUUGAUGCCUUUAUGAAACUAAAUGCUUCCUUGAGUCUCCAGUCUUUUGUCAAGAACAUUAACAUCAUUCUUUUAUGAGGAAUGAAAGUAUAUUUUAAUUUACCUAACUUCUAAGUCUAUUAUGUCAAAAAUUAUCAUGAAAAAUUAAUAAAUUAAUAUUGUAAGAGUGAUACAUUUAGAGUAUGGGCUUCCGUAUAAAGAUCAUGUACACUUCUCAUUGGAUAACUUUCAUCCUUUUUUUUUUUUUUUGAGACAGAGUUUGCUCUUGUUGCCCCAGCUGGAGUGCAAUAGCAUGAUCUCGGUUCACUGCAACCUUUGCCUCCUGGGUUUAAGCAAUUCUCCUGCCUCAGCUUCCAGAGUAGCUGGGAUUAUAGGCUUGCACCACAAUGCCCUGCUAAUUUUUUGUAUUUUUAGUCCAGACAGCGUUUCUCUAGAUUGGUCAGGCUGGUCUCAAACUCCCAACAUCAGGUUAUCUGCCCACCUCUACCUCCCACAGUGCUGAGAUUACAGGCAUAAGCUGCACCCAGCUGGAUAAUUUUCAAAGUCUUUGACAUGAAUAUUGAAAUAAAAAAGGUUUAAUAAAUAUGAAGAAAAGGAAGAAAAAAUAGAAAAUUUAGUAUAGUUUCUUAGAAAUAUAAAAUCCUUGGUUAAGGCUUGGAAUUGAAAAAAAAAGAAAUAUAAAAUCCUUGUAGAUAUUUAUUUAUAAUUUGUAUCUUAUUAAUUGCUAAGAAGAGUAUUAGGGCUAGUCUUUAAAAUUCUAUUAAAGUAUAUUAUACUUAUAUUAAAAUUACAAGUUAUAAUUAUAUGGUUUGAUAAAUGUUACAAAAUUCUGCCUCAUACCUACAUAAUCAGCCCUUAGUUCAAGAAAGGUACAUUUUCUACCUGGCUGGAAUGACCAGAAGGGAAGGUGGAUCAGUGCUUUUAAUCAGCUUAAAAUGGCUUGUUUCACAAUUGUGAAUGGGAAGAUGGGGAAAGGGGUCAGCUUCAAAGAUGUGGCAGGAAUGCACGAAACCAAGCUGGAAUGCAAGAGUUUGUGGAUUAUCUCAGAGCCCAGAGCGCUUCCUCCAGCUUGGCGCCAAGGUCCCAAAGCGUGCGCUGCUGCUCGGGCCCCCUACCUGUGGGAAGACCAUGCUGGCCAAGGUGGUAGCCACAGAGGCCCAGGUGCCCUUCUUGGCAAUGGCUGGCCCGGAGUUCGUGGAGGUCGUUGGAAGGCUUGGUUGCUGCCCAUGUGUGGAGCCUCUUCAAAGAAGCCCGAGCCCAGGCUCCCUGCAUCGUCUACAUCGAUGAGAUAGACGCGGUGUGCAAGAAGCGCUUGACCACCACGUCCGGCUUCUCCAACACCGAGGAGCAGACGCCCAACCAGCUUCUGGUGGAAAUGGAUGGAAUGGGCACCACAGACCAUGUCAUCGUCCUGGCGUCCAUGAACCAAGCCAACAUUUUGGUCUGUGCUCUGAUGAAGCCAGGUCGACUGGACUGGCACAUCUUCAUUGAUCUUCCCACGCUGCAGGAGAGACAAGAGAUUUUCGAGCAGCACCUGAAGAGCCUGAAGCUGACCCAGGCCAGCACCUUUUACUAGUAGCGUCUGGCAGAGCUGAUUCUAGGAUCCAGAUGUUGCUGACAUCGCCAACAUCUGCAAUGAGGCUGCGCUGCACUUGUCACGGGAGAGACACACGUCCGUGCACACACUCAGCUUCGAGUACGCCGCGGAGCGCGUCCUUGCAGGGACUGCCAAAAAGAGCAAGAUCAUGUCUAAGGAAGAACAGAAAGUGGUCGCAUUUCACGAGUCGGGCCAUGCCUUGGUGGGCAACCGCUGGAGCACACAGAGGCCGUGAAGAAGGUCUCCAUAGCGCCUCAGACAAACGCCGCCCUGGGCUUUGCUCAGAUGCUCCCCAGAGACCAGCACCUCUUAACCAAGGAGCAGCUGUUUGAGCGAAUGUGCAUGGCCCUUGGGGGCCGGGCGUGGGAAGCGCUGACCUUCAACCGGGUCACUUCCGGGGCACAGGAUGACCUGAGGAAGGUCACCCGCAUUGCCUACUCCAUGGUGAAGCAGUUUGGGAUGGUACCUGGCAUCGGGCUCAUCUCCUUCCCUGAGACACAGGGGGGCCUCAUGGGCAUCUGGCAGCUCCCCUUCAGCCAAGGCCCGCAGCAGAUGAUGGAUCAUGAAGCAAGACUGCUGGUGGCCAAGGCCUACAGACACACCGAGAAGGUGCUGCAGGAGCUGGCAAAUGCCCUUCUGGAAAAGGAAGUGAUAAACUAUGAGGACAUUGAGGCUCUCAUUGGCCCACCGCCCCAUGGGCCGAAGAAAAUGAUCGCACCAUAGAGGUGGAUCGACGCCCAGAGGGAGAAGCAGGACUCUGGAGAGGAGGAGGCGGCGGAAGAGCCCAGCAGCCUCUGCUUCGAGGCAAAGAGCCAGCUUGACCAAAGUAGUUGGGACAUGUUGGCCGCACGUGAUCCAAGAAGUGAGCAGCUCACUCAGCCGCCCCACGUUUCUUUUCAAAUGAGCUUUGCACUUGCCUUGGGGCUCUCAAUAGUCUCUGCACCCUCAGUAGUCUCUGUGCAGCGGCUUCUGAGAUCUCUUUAUUGAUUACCCUUUUCAUGACUGUAAAUUUCUUUGCGGAAAUGACUGACUGAGCCUUGUGUUUGUGCAUCGUUUCCCCCAUGGGGAAGGUUAUUAGUGCUUUCCCAAGUGAGCAUGGGACACCUCGAGUUCCCAGGGUUACCGACACAGUCUUUCCCACUGUGGCUGAGGCCACCCAGAGGCCGCACAGCAUUAAGAACCCUGUUCAUGCUGACGCCUGCACUGCCUUUCCAGUUCCCAUGGCUCCCUCCGAAUGCUAAGGGGAUCGGACAUGAAAGGACCCGCUCAGCCGAUCGUCCUGUCUCCAGCGGCUCUGUCAUGGAGCUCACUCAUCAAUGAGGCCACACAAGCCCAGAAACUGGACUCUAGAGGACUCAACACUGCCACCUGCUGCCAUGUGGAGAGGUACAAGCUGAGGACUUCUCGCUGGUCUAGUUAUGCAGUGUUGGGAUGCCUUGGUUUUUAUUGCCCUGAGAAUUGUUGAGACACUUCACUAAUAAACUCUGUGGUUGGAAAAA